GUAGGGAAUCUUCGGCAAUGGGGGCAACCCUGACCGAGCAACGCCGCGUGAGUGAAGAAGGUUUUCGUAUCGUAAAGCUCUGUUGUAAGAGAAGAACGUGUGUGAGAGUGGAAAGUUCACACAGUGACGGUAACUUACCAGAAAGGGACGGCUAACUACGUGCCAGCAGCCGCGGUAAUACGUAGGUCCCGAGCGUUGUCCGGAUUUAUUGGGCGUAAAGCGAGCGCAGGCGGUUUAGUAAGUCUGAAGUUAAAGGCAGUGGCUUAACCAUUGUUCGCUUUGGAAACUGUUCAACUUGAGUGCAGAAGGAGAGAGUGGAAUUCCAUGUGUAGCGGUGAAAUGCGUAGAUAUAUGGAGGAACACCGGUGGCGAGAGCGGCUCUCUGGUCUGUAACUGACGCUGAGGCUCGAAAGCGUGGGGAGCAAACAGGAUUAGAAACCCCUGUAGUCC
rnacentral:rRNA from 1 species